GCGGGGGGUCAGGAUCCUCCACAGUUCCUGAUGAAUAUCUGUUAUCGCUGAAGUUUCUCUUUGGCUCAUCAGCCACCCAGGCCUUGGACCUAGUUGAUCGACAGUCCAUCACCUUAAUCUCAUCACCCAGUGGAAGGCGUGUUUACCAGGUCCUUGGAAGUUCCGGUAAAACAUACACAUGUUUGGCUUCUUGUCAUUACUGUUCAUGUCCUGCAUUUGCCUUCUCAGUGCUACGGAAGAGUGACAGCAUCCUGUGCAAGCAUCUCUUGGCAGUUUACCUGAGUCAGGUUAUGAGGACCUGUCAGCAGCUAAGUGUCUCUGACAAGCAGUUGACUGACAUAUUAUUGAUGGAGAAGAAACAAGAAGCAUAAAAGGACUGCAGGAGGUGCUGUGGGUUGGAGCCGUGGGCUGUGGAGGGUUUGUGUAUGAUGAGAAGCCCUGUACAGUCUUCUCAAGAAAAACCCUGAGCCAGUCUCUGAGACGCUUCGGUAAAAAAUGUCCCUGGAUGGAAUCAAGAUUUUAAAUUCAAAUAAAGCCUAAUAUCAUGUUGUGUCCACA
rnacentral:sRNA from 1 species